rnacentral:rRNA from 1 species
UGGGGAAUAUUGGACAAUGGGCGAAAGCCUGAUCCAGCCAUGCCGCGUGAGUGACGAAGGCCUUAGGGUUGUAAAACUCUUUCGUCGGGGACGAUAAUGACGGUACCCGAAGAAGAAGCUCCGGCUAACUCCGUGCCAGCAGCCGCGGUAAUACGAAGGGAGCUAGCGUUGUUCGGAAUCACUGGGCGUAAAGCGCACGUAGGCGGAUAGUUAAGUCAGGGGUGAAAUCCUGGGGCUCAACCCCAGAACUGCCUUUGAUACUGGCUGUCUCGAGGUCGAGAGAGGUUGGUGGAAUUCCUAGUGUAGAGGUGAAAUUCGUAGAUAUUAGGAAGAACACCAGUGGCGAAGGCGGCCAACUGGCUCGAUACUGACGCUGAGGUGCGAAAGCGUGGGGAGCAAACAGGAUUAGAUACCCAUGUAGUCCCUGAGCGGGCUGGCAAGGCGCAU